rnacentral:rRNA from 1 species
AUUGAACGCUGGCGGCAGGCCUAACACAUGCAAGUCGAGCGGAUGAGGGGAGCUUGCUCUCUGAUUCAGCGGCGGACGGGUGAGUAAUGCCUAGGAAUCUGCCUGGUAGUGGGGGACAACGUUUCGAAAGGAGCGCUAAUACCGCAUACGUCCUACGGGAGAAAGCAGGGGACCUUCGGGCCUUGCGCUAUCAGUUGAGCCUAGGUCGGAUUAGCUAGUUGGUGGGGUAAAGGCUCACCAAGGCGACGAUCCGUAACUGGUCUGAGAGGAUGAUCAGUCACACUGGAACUGAGACACGGUCCAGACUCCUACGGGAGGCAGCAGUGGGGAAUAUUGGACAAUGGGCGAAAGCCUGAUCCAGCCAUGCCGCGUGUGUGAAGAAGGUCUUCGGAUUGUAAAGCACUUUAAGUUGGGAGGAAGGGCAGUAAGUUAAUACCUUGCUGUUUUGACGUUACCGACAGAAUAAGCACCGGCUAACUUCGUGCCAGCAGCCGCCGCCGUAA